AGCAGUAGCCACGGGAAUACGAAGGGGGCUAGCGUUGCUCGGAAUGACUGGGCGUAAAGGGCGCGUAGGCGGUUUUGACAGUCAGAUGUGAAAUUCCUGGGCUUAACCUGGGGGCUGCAUUUGAGACGUCAAGACUAGAGUGUGAGAGAGGGUUGUGGAAUUCCCAGUGUAGAGGUGAAAUUCGUAGAUAUUGGGAAGAACACCGGUGGCGAAGGCGGCAACCUGGCUCAUUACUGACGCUGAGGCGCGAAAGCGUGGGGAGCAAACAGGAUUAGAUACCCCCGUAGUCCCUGUCUCUUAUAC
rnacentral:rRNA from 1 species